ensembl:lncRNA
CGGAAAGAAAGAACAGAUGACGAUAAAGACAAAGGUAAAUAAAAAGAAGUGUUGGUGGAAAGAUGGAUGGAGUGAGAGUGUUAAUGGUGGAAAGAUGGAUGGAGUGAGAGUGUUAAUGGUGGAAAGAUGGAUGGAUUGACGGUGUUAAUGGUGGAAAGAUGGAUGGAGUGAGAGUGUUAAUGGUGGAAAGAUGGAUGGAUGGAGGGAGAGUGUUAAUGGUAGAAAGAUUGAUGGAAAGAUGGAUGGAGUGAGAGAUUAAAGAGUAAAGAUAAGAGUAAAGGUUAAUGUUGCAGAAUGUAAGAGAUGUAUGUUAUCUGUAUUUAGAGCUCUUCGGUGCUGGUGGCUCAGGAUGACGGCAGCAGGAACGAGAACGAAGGAACUGCAAAUGACGGCAGCUCCACGACGUCCUCGAGUCCCUUCAACUCUCGCCAUCGCCGCUUCCUCAGUAAGAACCUCUCCAAGAGAGAGACAGGAGCGACGCUGCAGACCCUCACGUUUCCUGGAGUCGACUCUGCUGAAGAUUUAGAGAAGCUCGUGCACGCUCAGCUGGAGGACACGUCUGAAGGCGUGACGUACGAGGAGCUGAUGAAGAUCUUCGGCACGUCCGCUCCGGAUUCCCGUCUCCUCGAGCCGUACGACGUGGAUCAGGACCACAGGUACACGCUGGAGGAGCUCCGGGCCGCCGCUUCGCUCUGAGGAACCGUGCAGUCGGUCGCGUGAAGAACAUUUAAGACUGCGCCGUCAACGAGCGGCAGGAGGAUGACACGUGGCCCUCGGCGUGAACUAUCCUAGCUGUGGCUGACACAACUGCUGCUCCAUUCCUUUUUUUUUUUCUUUUUCUUUUUCUUUUCUCUUUCGAUUCAUUCCUUUACACCGGUAUUGGAGAGAUUUGAACCAUCAUCCUGCAGAGAAACGACUUGUAUGAAGAUAUGAAGGUUUUUAUUAAUAAUCACGAAUGCGUAAAGCUAAUCAGAACACGUAUAUUAGAGAUUCGGGUUGAUUACUUCGAUACCGAGCCUCAAAAUUCAAAGACGAGCCUAGAUUUACGUUGUUUUAACAUGUUUGCCCCCCCCCCCCCCCCCCCAGCCCCCGUAUAGGAUCAAAACACAUUCCUUUUCAUAUUUAGGUGGAAUCUGGGAGGCUGUGAGGAAAUGCAUUGGAAAUCAUUUAACACACUAUUUAAUUGUGUAUUUAGCAAAAUGUAGCAAUAAUAUAUUACUCUUAAGGCUUAUUGGGUAUAUGAUGUGUUACUGUGUGUACAGUAUUCUGCAGUAAUGUAUUAAGGACCAGUUUCUACAGAAAAAAAGAGUGAUACUUUCAGCCGAAACGAUCAGGCGUAGUAGCGAGAGCUACUGAUGCUGUUUUAAGGUGAAUGUUCACUUCAACAGGUAGUGAAUGAAACACUGAUUAGGCAUGUAUGUAUUUCUGUAUGUAUUUUUAAUGCUAACAUCACACACACACACACAUUCAUUCCAGUCAGCUUCUACCAGGGUGUGCAAACUUAAAACAACCCGGGAGAUGAUAUAAACUCGCGACCAAAGUUGCCAUGUCAUGAGAAAAAAAAACGAUAAAAGAAAAGAGUUCCUGCUUUCGGUAUGUAAACAGAGCAUUUAGUUCCCAUCUAUGAAGUGUUAAUGGUAUUAAUUCUUUUCUUUUUUUUUGGGGUGUGUGUGAAGAAUUAAAAGAAGAAAACAAUACCUUGUGAGAUUGCCUUUUAAGGAAGGUCAGGGGGUGGGGCUAUGUUCCAGCCCAGAAUCGCAAGCGUGAAUUACAGCAGAGUUCAAAUCUGUUGCAUGGUAAUAUUGCAAAUCAGACUUUUUUUUUCUUUUUCUUUUUUUUUACAGCGUCUUUAAAAAUUGCGAACGCAACACACAGAAACAUUUUUCAAAAUUACACACCGCACCUUUAAUUUGUCAGGAGUCACUGACUCUAAUGAAGGAGUAGGAUUAGUGAGUGAUGAAAUAGUGCUGUUCUGGCAACAGGAAGUGCUCACAAUUCACCUUAGUUGUGAUGGUGGCAAUGAAGCAGGACUACUAUUAAUAAUAAUAAUAUUUUAACUUCCAUGUCUGGAAGUUAAGACACAAAAGUUUGUACACCCCUAUGUUUAGCAAUGUAAAUAUGCUGUAUGAAUUGUGGACUCACUUGAGUAUCAAUCUCAGAUACUUCCUGUGUGUAGGCUGAUGCUCAGACCGGACUUUUAUCUGCUUCCUGGUGUUAAUAAAUGAUUGUUGAUGUGAAAGAAUGGUUCAGGGAACCUGCUCGUGUAAAAUAUUCAGCGCUGUACAUUAGCAUAAUGAAUGCGUUUAUGCUCAGCAUGUUGCUUUUUUAAUGUAACAUGUAUAAAGGCCUAAUUUAUCCG